GACGAACGCUGGCGGCGUGCUUAACACAUGCAAGUCGAACGGAAAGGCCCUGCUUUUGUGGGGUGCUCGAGUGGCGAACGGGUGAGUAACACGUGAGUAACCUGCCCUUGACUUUGGGAUAACUUCAGGAAACUGGGGCUAAUACCGGAUAGGAGCUCCUGCUGCAUGGUGGGGGUUGGAAAGUUUCGGCGGUUGGGGAUGGACUCGCGGCUUAUCAGCUUGUUGGUGGGGUAGUGGCUUACCAAGGCUUUGACGGGUAGCCGGCCUGAGAGGGUGAACGGCCACAUUGGGACUGCGAUACGGCCCAGACUCCUACGGGAGGCAGCAGUGGGGAAUAUUGCACAAUGGGCGGAAGCCUGAUGCAGCAACGCCGCGUGCGGGAUGACGGCCUUCGGGUUGUAAACCGCUUUCGCCUGUGACGAAGCGUGAGUGACGGUAAUGGGUAAAGAAGCACCGGCUAACUACGUG
rnacentral:rRNA from 1 species